rnacentral:sRNA from 1 species
UCUCUUCCCCUUGUCCAUAGCCUAGAUCGAGCUCCCUGUGUGCACCGCGCGCUGCCCGAGGCGCAGGUCAACCAGAAUCAAGAUGUCUGGGACUGAGGAAGCAAUUCUUGGAGGACGUGACAGCCAUCCUGCUGCUGGCGGCGGCUCGGUGUUAUGCUUUGGACAGUGCCAGUACACAGCAGAAGAGUACCAGGCCAUCCAGAAGGCCCUGAGGCAGAGGCUGGGCCCAGAAUACAUAAGUAGCCGCAUGGCUGGCGGAGGCCAGAAGGUGUGCUACAUUGAGGGUCAUCGGGUAAUUAAUCUGGCCAAUGAGAUGUUUGGUUACAAUGGCUGGGCACACUCCAUCACGCAGCAGAAUGUGGGUGAGUAUGCUCUCCAGCAGUGGGGACUUCUGCACUGUCCAGCUCCUGCUGAAAGUCUGCUGUGGGUGAGGAGGUAAGAUUUUGUUGACCUCAACAAUGGCAAGUUCUACGUGGGAGUCUGUGCAUUUGUGAGGGUCCAGCUGAAGGAUGGUUCAUAUCAUGAAGAUGUUGGUUAUGGUGUUAGUGAGGGCCUCAAGUCCAAGGCUUUAUCUUUGGAGAAGGCAAGGAAGGAGGCGGUGACAGACGGGCUGAAGCGAGCCCUCAGGAGUUUUGGGAAUGCACUUGGAAACUGUAUUCUGGACAAAGACUACCUGAGAUCACUAAAUAAGCUUCCAUGCCAGUUGCCUCUUGAAGUGGAUUUAACUAAAGCGAAGAGACAAGAUUUUGAACCGUCUGUGGAAGAGGCAAGAUACAACAGCUGCCGACCGAACAUGGCCCUGGGACACCCACAACUACAGGAGGCGACCUCCCCUUCCAGACCAAGCCAUGCUGUGAUACAGGCGGACAAGGACUGCAGCUCCCGGUAUGCGGCCUAAGUCCCCUUCCUUUCCUCUGCGGCCCCUUCCUAUGUCACGGGGGCUGCCUCCACUCAGGCCUUCGGAGCCAGCCAGCCGUGCGUGUGCUCCCAGCAGCCGUGGCUGUUGCUCAGGAGCCCUCGUCCCCGCUGUCCUCUCAUGCAGAAGCCUGACCUCAUCCGCCGUGGAGAGCGAGGCCACGCACCAGCGGAAGCUCCGGCAGAAGCAGCUGCAGCAGCAGUUCCGGGAGCGGAUGGAGAAGCAGCACGUUCGAGUCUCCACGCCGUCAGCUGAGAAGAGUGAGGCAGCGCCUCCGGCCCCUCCUCUGACGCACAGCACUCCUGUAACCGUCUCAGAACCACUCCCGGAGAAAGACUUCCUUGCAGGAGUGACUCAAGAAUUAAUCAAGACUCUUGAAGACAACUCUGAAAAGUGGGCUGUGGCUCCCGAUGCAGGGGAUGGUGUGGUCAGGCCCUCGUCUACAGCAGACCCAGCCCAGGCCUCUGACACACUAGCCUUGAACAACCAGAUGGUGACCCAGAACAGGACUCCACACAGCCUUUGCCACCAGAAACCACAAGCAAAAUCUGGAUCUUGGGACCUCCAAACUUAUAGCGCCGACCAACGCACAACAG